rnacentral:tRNA from 1 species
GCCGGGAUGGCGGAAUUGGUAGACGCACGGGACUCAAAAUCCCACGACUGUGAGGUUCGAUUCCCCCUCCCGGCACCA